rfam:Myotis lucifugus cont2.37344, whole genome shotgun sequence.
GGCAGUUCUCAGGUGAUGUACCCCGGAAUCCGGCUCCCUCCUCUCUGGUUCUGGGUGCGGCACCUGAGAACCACA